rnacentral:rRNA from 1 species
UGACCUCGUAUCAGGUAGGGAUACCCGCUGAACUUAAGCAUAUCAAUAA